rnacentral:lncRNA from 1 species
ACAAAUACAAGCUAUCAAGAUCAGAUCUAAACCCAUACCUUGUCUUUCAAGUUUGUAUGGAUUAUCAAAGUAAUUGAUGGCUAAUCAACUAAGCAAAUAAGCAUGAAUCUUAAUAGACAAUCUCAUAACAAUCAAUAAGACUAAUAAUGAAGUAUAUCAAAAUAAACUAGGCAAUAGAUUCCAUUGUAGUCUCAAAAUAGAGUUUAGUUAGUCAUAAAAUAAAAAU